UACGGGGGGGGUAAGCGUUGUUCGGAAUUACUGGGCGUAAAGGGCUCGUAGGCGGCCAACUAAGUCAUACGUGAAAUCCCUCAGCUUAACUGGGGAACUGCGUGCGAUACUGGAUGGCUUGGAUGUGGGAGAGGGAUGCGGAAUUCCAGGUGUAGCGGUGAAAUGCGUAGAUAUCUGGAGGAACACCGGUGGCGAAGGCAGCCCCUUGGACCUGUACUGACGCUCAUGCACGAAAGCGUGGGGAGCAAACAGG
rnacentral:rRNA from 1 species